GACGAACGCUGGCGGCGUGCUUAACACAUGCAAGUCGAACGGAAAGGCCCUUCUUUUGUUGGUUUCUCGAGUGGCGAACGGGUGAGUAACACGUGAGUAACCUUCCCUUUACUUUGGUAUAACUUCAGGAAACUUGGGCUAAUACCGGAUAGUAUCUCCUGCUGCAUGGUGUGGGUUGGAACGUUUCGGCGGUUGGGGAUGGACUCGCGGCUUAUCAGCUUGUUGGUGGGGUAGUGGCUUACCAAGGCUUUGACGGGUAGCCGGCCUGAGAGGGUGACCGGCAAAAUGGGGACUGAGAGAAGGCACAGAAGGCUACGGGAGGCAGCAGUGGGGAAUAGUGCACAAUGGGAGGAAGCAUGAGGAAGAAAAGCAGCGUGCGGGAUGACGGCCUUCGGGUUGUAAAAAGAUUUAGACUGUGAAGAAGAGUGAGUGACGGUAAUGGGUAAAGAAGCACCGGCUAACUACGUG
rnacentral:rRNA from 1 species